AGAGGGUGAGACUCCCGUCCGCCUGGUAGAGUGAGCCAUUUGUCAACGAGUCGAGUUGUUUGGGAUUGCAGCUCUAAUUUGGUGGUAAAUUCCAUCUAAAGCUAAAUAUUGGUGGGAGACCGAUAGCGUACAAGUACCGUGAGGGAAAGAUGCAAAGAACUUUGAAAAGAAGAGUUAAAGGGUACCUGAAACUGCUGAAACGGAAGCGAAGGAAACCAGUGUUUGUUUGUUCAUAUUUCCCUGGCCACUUGUGGUUUGGGCGCUGUGGGCUUGCGUGAGUUUGGGUUGGUUGAUUCCUUUGGAAGAGCGCAGUCAGAGUUGAUGUCU
rnacentral:rRNA from 1 species